GAGCAGCGGAUGAUUAGCACCAAUGUAUUGAGUUCAUUUUGGACUUAAGCGAUAAACGGGAGGCCUCAGUGCUUCGGUCCUGAUGGAUAGCUCACUUCUGGAUCAAGCUCCACUACCUGUUUUUGCAGACGAUUUGAAUCCCCAUUGUAGCUUACUCUAGGCACCCCUUAAUAUUGUGAGCUAGUAGUCUUAUAACAAGCAAGUGCUAAGAUUCUCACACCUGUGUGAUGAAGGAGCUCACUCCUCAGGUGCAUCAUGUAUAUAUUGUAUUAACAAAGCCCCCCGUCCUUCUAUUUUCAUUGUUCCAGAGUUUCCCAUUGAGCUCCCAAUUAAUUUAAAUGUCACUUUUAGGAAAGAAA